GAGGAAAUAGCUCAGUGGUAGAGUGCAUGCUUAGCAUGCACGAGGUCCUGGGUUCAAUCCCCAGUACCUCCA
rnacentral:tRNA from 1 species